CAGGCAUUCAUAUCAACUUCUACCUGCUGUGUUACAUUGGCAGCCUAUUUGUUUCCAACCCCAGUGUAAAGUGCUGAUAUUGAUCUUAGUUUAACCUUAAAUAAUUUGGGAUCAUGAUAUCUGAAAAGCCACCUUCUCCCAAAUGAUUUUGGCAGAGCAUUAAGAUCAGCAUCAAGGGGCCUGUUUUCUGGUCUAGUAGCAAGAGCUACUACGAUGUUUCAUCAGCAGAGUUGAAAUCCGGCGCAGAUCAUUCCAGUACAAUUCUCGAUCUACACCAUUAUUUUUACAGGUGCUUUCAGCACUCAAAACCAGUCAGGUAUUUGCUGUUGGUCUUUCUCCUUUUCUACUUGGGCUGUAUCAAGAGUAAAUAAAAUAGCAUGGGUUCUCCCUCUUC